rnacentral:rRNA from 1 species
UACGUAGGGUGCGAGCGUUAAUCGGAAUUACUGGGCGUAAAGCGUGCGCAGGCGGUUGUGCAAGACAGGUGUGAAAUCCCCGGGCUUAACCUGGGAACUGCACUUGUGACUGCACGGCUGGAGUGCGGCAGAGGGGGGAUGGAAUUCCGCGUGUAGCAGUGAAAUGCGUAGAUAUGCGGAGGAACACCGAUGGCGAAGGCAAUCCCCUGGGCCUGCACUGACGCUCAUGCACGAAAGCGUGGGGAGCAAACAGG